rnacentral:rRNA from 1 species
CGUAGGGUGCGAGCGUUGUCCGGAAUUACUGGGCGUAAAGAGCUCGUAGGCGGUUUGUCGCGUCGUUCGUGAAAACUUGGGGCUUAACUUCAAGCGUGCGGGCGAUACGGGCAGACUUGAGUACUACAGGGGAGACUGGAAUUCCUGGUGUAGCGGUGAAAUGCGCAGAUAUCAGGAGGAACACCGGUGGCGAAGGCGGGUCUCUGGGUAGUAACUGACGCUGAGGAGCGAAAGCGUGGGUAGCGAACAGGAUU